UAGACUUUGAAGCAGUGGUUGCCGGAGUCGGCCACCACCACAUGUCCGUCGGAGGUCAGAGCCAGACCUUGGGGUCCAUACAGAGGGUCCGCCGAUGUGUUGAUGUAGGAGAGGAAGGAACCACUGCCGUCAAACACCUGGAAAUUGGAACAGAAAAGCUACGCCAGUGGGAGCAUUGAACUGGCCGUUUCCUUCACCGUUUGAGCCAAACUUCAACACCAGAUCUCCGUCAGGAGUGAAUACCUGACCAGUGAUUAUACUUCAACUGACACUUCUGCCACCUACAGUCAUGUGAAAAACCAUUACCUGCAAACUGCUUGUCACCGUUACCCCGACUACCAAACUUGCUGAUGAGUUUGCCGGUCAGCUGGAAAAUGAAGACAGUACACGCCUUGUU